AGCAAGGCCUACAUUGGACAACAAGGUGGAACACUACAACGAGGACCGUGAGGACUUAAGAGAAUGCUGGACAAGUGGACACAAACAUCAACUUCAACUUUCUCCACUCCUGUUGUGUGAAACACUGCAGGGACAUUGUGGAGGCAAAGUUCCUGGGAUGUCUGGUAUGAAUAGCUCUCGAUGUCAUGCCUUUGCAUCUCAUUUAGACAAAAUGAGAGUCAUGGGGUCAAAAGGAAGUGCCUGAAGAGCUCAGACACAGACGUGUGGCAGGCACAGACCUGGACAAGGUUUCAAAAACAAUUCUGCUCCACUUAAGGUUCCUAACAGCAGAGUGACGUUUAUAAUCCUGAAAUGGGAGACAAUUGGCAAAUUACAGAAGAACCCAAAGAUCACUGUGGCUAUGCUAACAGAGUUGCAGUCAGGACAGAAAAAGUUCUAGAAAGUCAACCAUCCCUGCAUCCCUGCAUUUGCACAACAGAUGUGCAAAUGAUGCAGUGUGGUGACACUACUCCAGUGUACUAAAUUAACGAAAGAAUGGCUUCAGAACAACUCUGUGACUGUUCUUGAAGGGCCCAGCCAGAGCCUUGACGUAAACCCAAUUGAGCAUCUCUGGAGACACCUUAAAAUGGCUGCCCACCAAUGUUCAGCAAGCAACCUGACAGAACUGGAGAGGAUUUGCAAGGAAGAAUAGCAGGAUCCCCACAUACAGGUGUGAAAAAUUUGUUGCAUCUUUCCCAAAAAGACUCAAGGCUAUAUUAGCCCAAAAAGGUGCUUCUACUAAAUAAUGAGCAAAAGGUCUGAAUACUUGAAGCAGUGUGAUAGUUCACCUUUUCUUUUCUGCUAAAUCUGCAAAAAUGUCAACAAUUUCAGUCAAUAUAUUUCCUAUUUUGACAUUAAUGAGGAGAAAAAUUGACUUAAAUAAUUUGAGCAAAUGGCUGUAAAAUAACAAAAAGUGAA